rnacentral:rRNA from 1 species
AUUGAACGCUGGCGGCAUGCCUUACACAUGCAAGUCGAACGGCAGCACGGGAGCUUGCUCCUGGUGGCGAGUGGCGAACGGGUGAGUAAUACAUCGGAACGUACCCUGAAGUGGGGGAUAACGUAGCGAAAGUUACGCUAAUACCGCAUAUUCUGUGAGCAGGAAAGAGGGGGAUCGCAAGACCUCUUGCUUUAGGAGCGGCCGAUGUCGGAUUAGCUAGUUGGUGAGGUAAAGGCUCACCAAGGCGACGAUCCGUAGCGGGUCUGAGAGGAUGAUCCGCCACACUGGGACUGAGACACGGCCCAGACUCCUACGGGAGGCAGCAGUGGGGAAUUUUGGACAAUGGGCGGAAGCCUGAUCCAGCCAUGCCGCGUGAGUGAAGAAGGCCUCGGGUUGUAAGACUCUUUCGGUCGGGGGAAGGAAAGUUAGCACGGGUUAAUACCCUAGUGUAGAUGA